UAACAAUUAUACUCGGUCUUUACUAAUGGUAUGCUUGACGACGUAGGUAUCCGAACUUCACCGCCAGCAUUGUGUCAGUCAACCCUCCUGAGUUACCGUCUCAAGUAUAAUAAUUGUAAAAGGAACAAUCUCUGCUGUCAUAGACCACAACAAUCACUUGUACCUGGUACUUCACCUCAGACUAGUGAGUAAUGGUGUAGUUGUCCAGGACUUUCCCUCAUGCGUGGGGUGAUGCGACUCUAGGCCUGUAUGACAGAAGAGUUACCGAGGACAAGACUUUGUGAAGUGCUUGGGACGGACUUGAGUCACACGAUACGUUUAAUACUACAUGACAAGCCAUCAUCAGUAUACAUGACCUCUACAACGACCGAUGUCCCCACUACUGUGGCCUCCAUUCCGUCACGCGGCCCAGCUCCUGCAGCGACUGUGGCCCCCGCUCCCGCCGCAGCACUGCUGCCGCAUAACUCCUCUCAAUCCCGACGUUCCGCCCAGGUCCUGCAGCGCCUCUGGUCCCGCUCCCAGCGCACGGCUCCCACCGGCCCGCCCCGCCUCGCUCCUGCCGCCCUGCCGCACGGCUGCGCUCCAAGCACCGCACCACCGCAACUAGUGCCUCUAUGCCGUAAUAAGCGACCUACCUCAACAGUAGCAACCCUACACAUCCUCGGACCUGCACCCUCAGACGGCCGUCUUGUAAAGGAAUGUUGGCAGCUAGACAAACAUAAUACCAACUACUUUGCACCUGUCAACCUACCAGCAAUCACCCAUUAACACACACGUGAAAGAGCACACCUACAUCCCC
rnacentral:rRNA from 1 species